rnacentral:rRNA from 1 species
AUUGAACGCUGGCGGAAUGCUUUACACAUGCAAGUCGAACGGUAGAGGGGGCAACCCCUUGAGAGUGGCGAACGGGUGAGUAAUAUAUCGGAACGUGCCCAGUCGUGGGGAUAACGUAGCGAAAGUUACGCUAAUACCGCAUACGAUCUAAGGAUGAAAGCGGGGGGACUCGCAAGAGCCUCGCGCGAUUGGAGCGGCCGAUAUCAGAUUAGGUAGUUGGUGAGGUAAAGGCUCACCAAGCCGACGAUCUGUAGCUGGUCUGAGAGGACGACCAGCCACACUGGGACUGAGACACGGCCCAGACUCCUACGGGAGGCAGCAGUGGGGAAUUUUGGACAAUGGGCGCAAGCCUGAUCCAGCAAUGCCGCGUGCAGGAUGAAGGCCUCGG